AUUGAACGCUGGCGGCAUGCUUUACACAUGCAAGUCGAACGGUAACAGGCCUUCGUUUGCUGUCUAGCGUCGAACGGGUGAGUAAUGCAUCCGAACGUACCCCGUGCCGGUGGAUAACGCAUCGAAAGCGGAGCUCAUACCGCAUGCGAUCUGAUGAUGAAAGCGGGGUACCGCGCAGCAAUAUUUGGCCUCUCGCCUUUCUUGCGGCCGAUGUCGGAUUAGCUAGUCGGUGGGGUAAAGGCCUACCAAGGCGACGAUCCGUAGCUGGUCUGAGAGGACGACCAGCCACACUGGGACUGAGACACGGCCCAGACUCCUACGGGAGGCAGCAGUGGGGAAUUUUGGACAAUGGGCGCAAGCCUGAUCCAGCAAUGCCGCGUGCGGGAAGAAGGCCUUCGGGUUGUAAACCGCUUUUGGCAGGAACGAAACGGUGUCCGCUAAUACCGGGCGCUAAUGACGGUACCUGCAGAAUAAGCACCGGCUAACUACGUG
rnacentral:rRNA from 1 species